rnacentral:lncRNA from 1 species
UGUGGAUGUGUAGAGUUUAUUGCACAAUUUAUGAAGUGGUGAGAUUGCUGUAUGCAAAUCUGUCUAGAUGGCUCCCUCAGAGGCUUGCGCUAAUUACCCGAGGCAGGCAGGGAAGAGGGAAAGAAAAAGGUAUACAAAAACUCACUAGUUUUUCUUUCUUUUGUUGCUGUUGUUUCUUAGGGUCAAAGAAGAGACUUGACAGAAAAAUUAAGCUGAAAGGUUCUUGCAUUGAAGAAAAAUCUUCAUCCACUGUGAAGCCAUGUUGUGAAGCUCCCACAGACUUGCCCUGACUGUCAAAUUGUGUCAUUUUAAUGAUGCUGUAGUAUCUCCAAAGGCCUAUUUAAAUCCAUUUACCUGUUAGGCUGAAUUUUGGGGGGAGACUGAAAAUGUAUGGGGGAGCAUGGGAUUUGAAGUCUACACAAGACUGAGAAGCAAGAUCUUUUUUCUCUAACCAAAUGCAUGUGAUGCAGUCAUUUAGAAGGAAUCAGAAGCUCUCUUCAGAUGAAUAUAUGUGUGGCAGGACACGAUGGAUGACAAAGUUUACAUUGAAUUUGUAUUGUGUGCUUUAGCGAAUAUAUCUAUCUGAAAUGUAAGUACAAGAGAAUUCAGAUAUUUGCUCUCUAGCAGCAGAUUUUGUGUAAAAAUAAAGAAACCAUCUUGAAGUAAUGUUGCA